rnacentral:lncRNA from 1 species
CCAUUUGACGAAACUUCGGUGUCUUCCGUGACUCUAUUUGCAGCUUUUCAUAAAGUGGCUCAUUUUGAGCACCCACUGGACGGUCUCGGUAGGAAAGGCGUCUCUCUUUCUGUCUGUCUCUGUCUCUCUCUCUCUCUUUCUGUGUCUGUCUCUGUCUCUCUCUCUCUCUUUCUGUGUCUGUCUCUGUCUCUCUCUCUCUCUUUCUGUGUCUGUCUCUGUCUCUCUCUCUCUUUCUGUGUCUGUCUCUAUCUUUCUUUCUUUCUUUCUCCCCCCCCCUUCUCUCUGUCUCUCUCUUUCUGUCCCUCUCUCCCUCCCCUCUCUCUUUCUGUCUGUCUUUCUCUCUCUCUCUUUCUGUCUCUCUGCCCCACUCUUGUCUCUCCCCCUCUGUCUUUCUCUCCCUCUCUGUCUCUCUCUCUCCCUCCCCUCUCCUCUCUCUUUCUGUGUCUGUCUCUAUCUUUCUUUCUUUCUCUCUCCCCCCCCUUCUGUCUGUCUCCCUCUCUUUCUGUCUCUCUGCCCCUCUCUUUCUUUCUCCCCUCCCCCUUUUCUGUCUCUGUCUCUUUCUCUUUCUUUCUGUCUCUCCGUCUCUGCUGUUCUCAGUCGGCGCUGCAGUCCGCAGAGCCCAGUGCGGUAACAGUUAAGCAGCGGAGCGGAGUAUCGCGCUCCCGCCCCCGAGCUCCGUCCGUGUGCCGCGGCCCUUCCUCCACUCGAGAGAUACUUUCGCAUUCGGCUGCUCCCGCGUCCGCUCCGCACACACACACACACACACACGCAGAGAGAGAGAGACAGACAGACAGACACAGAGCCCGACCCCGGCCGGGUUUUUCCACGCUGUCAGUCAGUCAGUGUUUCCCGAGCGCCGGCGACACACUCGUCCUCCUCGUCCUCCUCCUCCUUGUCUCCCGCUCGCUGGAGCGCCGCUUCUUCACUUCACUUCACUUGUGCGCAAAGUUGCGCAGAGAACAGAGGCCGAGAGAGAGCCGCGCCAUAAAGACACAUGUAACAUCCUGCAGGGCUGGCAGGGGCUUCGGUGUCCGCACACACACACACACCGCUGUAGCGUUCGUGUCCAUGACACUCUGCGUGUUUCAGCUCGUCUGGUCGCCGUGCAGAGAAGCGGGUCAGACGACGUGCGCUGGCGGGUGUGUGAGCGCACGCGGCACGUACCGUACGGGAUCAUCAUCAUCAUCAUCAUCAUGA